rnacentral:rRNA from 1 species
ACGUAGGCAGCAAGCGUUGUUCGGAGUUACUGGGCGUAAAGAGUGUGUAGGCGGUUCGCCAAGUUCGGUGUGAAAUCUCCCGGCUUAACUGGGAGGGUGCGCCGAAUACUGGCGGACUAGUGUGCGGGAUUGGAGAGCGGAAUUCCUCGUGAUGCCGUGCAGUGUGGAGAUAACGGGUAGAUCACCUGCGGUGUACAUGGCUCUCGGGACCGUUUCUGACGCGGAGACACGAAAUCGUAGGUAGCAACCAG